AUGACAACGCAACCUCCUAAAAUCCUGGUGUGGAACGUGAGAGGGCUCUACUCCCCGGCACGUAGGAAUACUAUCUUUCAAGCGGUAGAUGCGGCCAAAGUGGAUAUCAUGUGCCUUCAAGAAACAAAGAUGGAGGUGAUUUCGGAUGAUAUUGUACGACAAACCCUUGGCAAUAGAUUUGAGAAUUUCUAUUACGUUCCAGCGGUAGGCACUAGAGGUGGGAUUCUACUUGCAUGGGAUCACUUGGUGGUGUCGGUCACCAAUAGACACUUAACGGCGAAUACCCUUACGCACUCAUCAAGCAGGAAGGGCUGCCUAUGUGGUGGCUUACCGGAGUAUAUGGGCCACAAGGCGAUGCAGAAAUGA
rnacentral:rRNA from 1 species